GGCGAGUGAAGCGGCAACAGCUCAAAUUUGAAAUCUGGCGCAAGCCCGAGUUGUAAUUUGCAGAGGAUGCUUUUGGUGCGGUGCCUUCUGAGUUCCCUGGAACGGGACGCCGGAGAGGGUGAGAGCCCCGUACAGUUGGACACCAAGCCUUUGUAAAGCUCCUUCGACGAGUCGAGUAGUUUGGGAAUGCUGCUCAAAAUGGGAGGUAAAUGCCUUCUAAAGCUAAAUACCGGCCAGAGACCGAUAGCGCACAAGUAGAGUGAUCGAAAGAUGAAAAGCACUUUGAAAAGAGGGUUAAAAAGUACGUGAAAUUGUUGAAAGGGAAGCGCUCGUGACCAGACUUGCGCCCGGCGGAUCAUCCGGCCUUCUGGCCGGUGCACUCCGCCAGGCUCAGGCCAGCAUCGGUUCUUCCGGGGGGACAAAAGCGGUGGGAACGUAGCUCCUCCGGGAGUGUUAUAGCCCGCCGCAGAAUACCCCCGGGGGGACCGAGGACCGCGCUUCGGCAAGGAUGCUGGCGUAAUGGUCACCAGCGACCCGUCUUGAAACACGGACCAAGGAGUCAAGCAUUAGGGCGAGUGUUUGGGUGUCAAACCCGCACGCGAAAUGAAAGUGAACGCAGGUGAGAGCUUCGGCGCAUCAUCGACCGAUCCUGAUGUUUUCGGAUGGAUUUGAGUAAGAGCCUUGCCGCUUGGACCCGAAAGAUGGUGAACUAUGCUUGGAUAGGGUGAAGCCAGAGGAAACUCUGGUGGAGGCUCGCAGCGGUUCUGACGUG
rnacentral:rRNA from 1 species